CAAACAUGCAUAUAAAUGAUAUAUAGCAUGCGAAGCUCAAUCAUAUUACACUCGUUAUAUAACGAUUUUCUGUACAUGUUACAUAACAUUUCUUUUAUUUUGAAAUGUAUCACACAUCCUUUGAGAACAUAUUCACGGUAUAUAUUACUAUACAACUUUUAUGAUACAUUGCAACUUGAACAUAUGCGAUAUAUCGCAAAUACAAUCUACAUUCACAAGUUUAAAUUAAUAACACUAAGCACAUGCGCAAAGGCACGGUGAAUUGUGCACAUGUAAAGUCCCUAGAUUACUUCCAGGGACUUUAUGCACAUGCACACGCUUCCGAAAAUUUGAUGCAAUUAGGGUGGUUUUAAUAAAAGUUUAAUUUGUGUUUAUUAUUAUAAUAUAUAUACAAACAGUUCUGUGGUGAAGUUUUAGUUUUUGGCGUGCUACCCAGCGACAUGUAAGUACCUAGAAAGUUUUUAUAUUUGAUUAAAAUUUGUACAUUAAAGCGAUCUUAACCUAACUUUAUAUGCACUUCAUGUACGAUUCUUUUUAACAUAUUUCAUUAGGGCGACGCUCAAAAAUACACUUUGUGGUUUGUUUAGUAACCGACGUUCACAAGUUUGCAAAGGUAUAUUAAAUGAGUAACCUGGCACUUACCUAAACCUUGCGAUAGUUACCGCAUCACUGAUCGUCAAUUAAUAUUUGUUCGUAGCAAGUUUUUGGACCUUACACAACAAAACAAAAUGAAAAGAAGCAGAAAAGAUUUUACUAAAAAGCUGAAGACCGGGAUUAUACAUCGGCAGAUGAAAAAGCCUUAGGACGAGGAAAAAGAUCUAAGGCUAUUACUCAUCCUUGUAAUACAGAUUCUAGUUCUGAUUCUAGAGAAUCUUCAAAGUCACCACCACCACCGCGACUUCCUCCACGAGCUAUUAGUCACAAAAAAACUUCAAAAGUGAACACUGUGGAGAAAGUUAACCAGAACAACUUCGAGGAUAACAUUCAAGUUAUAGACGAAAUAUCUAUUUUAUCAGAAAUUCCGAUAAUUAUUGAUGGUGUAGAAGAAUUCAUACAAUCACCAGCCACUCCUGUAGCAAUCGACGUAGAAGUUAACAAGAAGUUUGACAAAAUUUUGGAAAUGCUGCAUUCUGUCCAUUUAUAUGUACGUAGCAUUGAUGAAAUUUAAAAAAAUUACACUCGGUGACAACUGAAGAACGUAAUCAGCCUACAGCUGAAACAAAAUUUAUAAACGAUCUACUGCCAAUCCCUAAUAUUGAUGCUCUCAAACAAUUUGAAGUUUUAUUAGAGAAUGAAGGCCAUACUAAACAGUUUCACAUAAUUUUAAGUAACAUUGGUGGUAAAAAUGGAAAGGAUAAUAUUCACCGUCUUUUAAAGAAAGUUUAUUCAAACCAAAUGUCUACAAAGUGCUCUUGGUUAGGACAAAGAGGAAACUUUAAAAUUAGCACCACAAAAAGUAUGCAAAUUAUAAAAGGUGUCACAAUAAAUUCAUAUGUUGAUGUCAAGGAAAGCGAUUUCGAACGCAUUUCCAGCGAAUGGUUCCGGUUGGCAAAAUUACGAGCAGACCGAGAAAGAUAAAUACCUAUUUUGAUAUUCUUAUUACCUUUUUAUUUAACAGAUUAUUAAUUACCUGUACGAGUUGUGUUACGUUUGCUAUGUAUAUUUUACAUAAUAAAUUAGUUAAAAGAUA